rnacentral:rRNA from 1 species
CAGUAGCCGCGGUAAGACAGAGGAUGCAAGCGUUAUCCGGAAUGAUUGGGCGUAAAGCGUCUGUAGGUGGCUUUUCAAGUCCGCCGUCAAAUCCCAGGGCUCAACCCUGGACAGGCGGUGGAAACUACCAAGCUGGAGUACGGUAGGGGUAGAGGGAAUUUCCGGUGGAGUGGUAAAAUGCGUUGAGAUCGGGAAGAACACCAACGGCGAAAGCACUCUGUUGGGCCGACACUGACACUGAGAGACGGAAGCUAGGGGAGCAAAUGGGAUUUGAGACCCCCGUAGUCCCUGUCUCUUAUAC